rnacentral:rRNA from 1 species
AUUGAACGCUGGCGGCAUGCUUUACACAUGCAAGUCGGACGGCAGCACAGAGAAGCUUGCUUCUUGGGUGGCGAGUGGCGAACGGGUGAGUAAUAUAUCGGAACGUACCGAGUAAUGGGGGAUAACUAAUCGAAAGAUUAGCUAAUACCGCAUAUUCUCUGAGGAGGAAAGCAGGGGACCUUCGGGCCUUUCGUUAUUCCAUCGGCCGAUAUCUGAUUAGCUAGUUGGUGGGGUAAAGGCCUACCAAGGCGACGAUCAGUAGCGGGUCUGAGAGGAUGAUCCGCCACACUGGGACUGAGACACGGCCCAGACUCCUACGGGAGGCAGCAGUGGGGAAUUUUGGACAAUGGGCGCAAGCAUGAACCAGCCAUGCCGCGUGUCUGAAGAAGGCCUUCGGGUUGUAAAGGACUUUUGUCAGGGAAGAAAAGGCUGUUGCUAAUAUCGACAGCUGAUGACGGUACCUGAAGAAUAAGCACCGGCUAACUACGUG